rnacentral:rRNA from 1 species
GACGAACGCUGGCGGCAGGCUUAACACAUGCAAGUCGAGCGAGCGGCGGACGGGUGAGUAAUGUAUGGGGAUCUGCCCGAUAGAGGGGGAUAACUACUGGAAACGGUGGCUAAUACCGCAUACUAUCGGAUGAACCCAUAUGGGAUUAGCUAGUAGGUGGGGUAAAGGCUCACCUAGGCGACGAUCUCUAGCUGGUCUGAGAGGAUGAUCAGCCAAACUGGGACUGAGACACGGCCCAGACUCCUACGGGAGGCAGCAGUGGGGAAUAUUGCACAAUGGGCGCAAGCCUGAUGCAGCCAUGCCGCGUGUAUGAAGAAGGCCUUAGGGUUGUAAAGUACUUUCAGCGGGGAGGCGUUACCCGCAGAAGAAGCACCGGCUAACUCCGUGCCAGCAGCCGCGUAAUUC